AAGCUGUCUGACUAUAUAAUACUUCUAAAUCUAAAAGAGCAGAUAUGUAACUAGUUAGGUGGUGGAUUACAUUAUCUGACAAUGUGAGAGCUGAGUUGCCAAAACGAGUAGUGAAUGGGCAGGGUAUGCUGUGACGUGGCCAGCCAGGACAAAUGGAGGGAUUACUUCCUGUCCGAUUGAGCGGCUCGCAGGCGAGGCGGGGAUUUGUCCAAAAUCUCGAGGCACCUGCGUCGCCCGCCCUCGACGAAGAGAAAGAAGGACGAGCUGUGAGAAUUAAUUUACUGUUUUUAUCACAUUUCUUGCCAGCCUACCGGUGGAUAGUAUAUAUUUCUCUCUCUCAAAAAAAAAGGG
rnacentral:sRNA from 2 species